rnacentral:rRNA from 1 species
GAGUUUGAUCCUGGCUCAGAAUCAACGCUGGCGGCGUGCCUAACACAUGCAAGUCGCACGGCCGGGCAACCGGCAGUGGCGGACGGGUGAGUAACGCGUAGGGAUCUGUCCACGGGUGGGGGAUAACGCCGGGAAACUGGUGCUAAUACCGCAUGACGCCUGAGGGUCAAAGGUCGCAAGACCGCCUGUGGAGGAGCCUGCGUCCGAUUAGCUAGUUGGUGGGGUAAUGGCCUACCAAGGCGACGAUCGGCAGCUGGUCUGAGAGGAUGAUCAGCCACACUGGGACUGAGACACGGCCCAGACUCCUACGGGAGGCAGCAGUGGGGAAUAUUGGACAAUGGGCGCAAGCCUGAUCCAGCCAUGCCGCGUGGAUGAUGAAGGCCUUAGGGUUGUAAAGUC